AAGGGUACUCAGUGGUCAGUGUAAGUUGCAAGGAUAGACCAAAGCUUAUGUUUGACAUUGUAUGCACCCUCACAGACAUGCAGUAUGCUGUUUUCCAUGCCACUAUCUCAUCAGCUGGUCCCUCUGCAUCACAGGUAAUCUGAUUAUGUAAUUCUGAUAACUGCAAAGAUAAACUUAAGUACGGAGGGUAGAUCAUUUUAUAUAACUUGUGCCAUAGUUCCUGAGAUUCUUUCCAGUAUAAACGUGGCUCUACACUGGAAUUACUGAUGGAGUGUCAUUAAGCUUUGAUUCCAAAAUGUAAUAUGAAGAUUACUGAAUUUAUAGGAGUAUUUUAUUCGCCAUAUGGAUGGUUGCACUCUGGAAUCUGAAGCGGAGAAGGAAAGGGUUGUGAAGUGUAUUGAAGCUGCAAUUCGACGAAGGAUAAGUGAUGUAAGGGAGAUUACCUACUCUUCUUAGUCCUGAACGUUUCUCAAGAUUCGAUGCCACCAGGUAGAACAUACUUAAUUCCUUUGAUAUGCAGGGUUUCAGCCUAGAGCUGUGUGCCAAGGACCGAGUUGGCUUACUUUCUGAAGUUACAAGAGUCCUACGAGAAAAUGGGCUAUCAGUGACCAGAGCUGGUGUCACAACUAUUGGGGAGAAAGCAAAGAAUGUCUUCUACAUAAGAGAUGCAUCUGGAAAACCUGUCGAGAUGAAGACGAUUGAAAGACUGCGUGAGGAAAUUGGACAGACGAUGAUGCUUAAUGUGAAGAAAGACCCAACAUCUGCAAAGGUACCUGAAACUGGUGGUCUGGCUAAGACAAGCUUUUUCUUUGGAGGCUUACUGGAAAAGUUCCUAACUUAAAAGUUCAUCUGUUGUGAGCUUACCUACUUAUAUAGAAGAAUAAAGCAAUUAAUUAUAAGUCAAACGCAUAAAUGUGGCAAGGUUUCCCUGUAAAAAUAUGUGUAGAUACAUUGGACAAUUAUCCUUGCCAGGAUAAACAAAGGGAAAAAGAUUGGAAGAAAAAAGAACCUGCCCCAUUCAGUCUUAUUCUGUGCUGAAGUGUGGAAUUAUCCGAUGACUGUGUGCUGUUCUUGCACAAUAAAAGAUGAAAGUAUGACUUUAGGAUUAAAACUUUGGUCCAGAAAUGCUACUAUUGAAGAUUGAACAAAGAAAGCCAAUACAUUUUAGUGUACUUGAUCUUGAUGUCUAUGUUGUGUAGUUGUAGCAGCCCAAAAAUGAGCUGCUGACAUUGUUGUGAUUUUAACCUUUAGCUCCUUCAGUUUAUUAGCUGGUUGAGUAUUUUCCCUUCAUUUGUCAGUUAACUGGAAGUAUGCUUAGGUCAAUGUUUGUAACUUUAAUUUUAAUUAGUUCCUCCUAUGCUAUCUACAUGCUAGUAGAAAAUAUAACAUUGGUCAAAUGUAAAAAUACCAAACAUUGAUCCAAUCUAGUUAAACUCCUUCAAGCAGGGGUAGAUACACCAGCUUCCUCUGACAGCUGUCUCGGGACAGCGCUUCUGUCACGAACCGAGCCGAGGCCAUCGCCGCGAUGGGUUUCCGAACCACGAAGGCCUGAGAGACCCCUUAGCAUACUAUCAUAAGCAUAAUCUAUACAUAAAUCAAAGUGUGGAAGAGAUAACAAAAUUCAAGUUGAUCCUAUGAUCAAUAUAUGUCAAUAAAGUUAUGUCAAUACAACACUCAAAUUCCGUCUACAAAGCCUCUACUGUCGAGAUGAAGACUAUUGAAAGACUGCGUGAGGAAAUUGGACAGACGAUGAUGCUUAAUGUGAAGAAAGACCCAACAUCUGCAAAGGUACCUGAAACUGGUGGUCCGGUUAAGACAAGCUUUUUCUUUGGAGGCUUACUGGAAAAGUUCCUAACUUAAAAGUUCAUCUGUUGUGAGCUUACCUACUUAUAUAGAAGAAUAAAGCACUUAAUUAUAAGUCAAACGCAUAAAUGUGGCAAGGUUUCCCUGUAAAAAUAUGUGUAGAUACAUUGGACAAUUAUCCUUGCCAGGAUAAACAAAGGGAAAAAGAUGGGAAGAAAAAAGAACCUGCCCCAUUCAGUCUUAUUCUGUGCUGAAGUGUGGAAUUAUCCAAUGACUGUGUGCUGCUCUUGCACAAUAAAAGAUGAAAGUAUGACUUUAGGAUUAAAACUUUGGUCCAGAAAUGCUACUAUUGAAGAUUGAACAAAGAAAGCCAAUACAUUUUAGUGUACUUGAUCUUGAUGUCUAUGUUGUGUAGUAGUAGCAGCCCAAAAAUGAGCUGCUGACAUUGUUGUGAUUUUAACCUUUAGCUCCUUCAGUUUAAUUUUUAGCUGGUUGAGUAUUUUCCCUUCAUUUGUCAGUUAAUUGGCAGUAUGCUUAGGUCAAUGUUUGUAACUUUAAUUUUAAUUAGGCCCUCCUAUGCUAUCUACAUGCUAGUAGAAAGUAAAACAUAGGUCAAAUGUAAAAAUACCAAACAUUGAUCCAAUCUAGUUAAACUCCUUCAAGCAGGGGUAGAUACACCAGCUUCCUCUGACAGCUGUCUCGGGACAGCGCUUCUGUCACGAACCGAGCCGAGGCCAUCGCCGUGAUGGGUAUUCCGAACCACGAAGGCCCCAGAGACCCCUUAGCAUACUAUCAUAAGCAUAAUCUAAACAUAAAUCAAAG
rnacentral:lncRNA from 1 species